rnacentral:lncRNA from 1 species
UUGAGAAAGAAAUACUAUUCUGCAAAAUAUGAAUGGCACCCAAUGAUGAUACUUUUACUCACCAACUUGAAAGAGCCACAAUAACUUUGAAAUUUUGUACCAUAAUGAACUUGAGAAAUAUAUUCUUCAGGCAGCUUGAAAGAAAUGAAAGAUCGUUGGUUUUCAGGAAUAAACAAAUUAGUAAAGGAACAUCAAGAUGAUAUUAAAAACCAAGGGUCUGUAUGCAAACCAUAAUGCUAUGUUAGGGCAACAAAGUGAAAUUUGAACCAUGCAUUGAAAAUACAGAAAAGGGCUCUCAGUAGCAAUGCAUAUCUACUUUUCAGCACAAGUAGGAUGUUUAUGAGAAUUCCAUUUUGUCUAGGAUGAAGAAAGUGGUAGAAUUAUUUCUCCCAAAAUCUGCUCAGCAAAUAGUUUAUCUCCAAAGAUUAUGAAGGCUUCUUCAGUGAUUCAGAAAGUGUGGAAAAGAAUGCCUUGAAAAAAAAGAAUUUUUCAGGAUUUAACAGUUGUAUAACACUUAAAAAACCAUUCAUGGGAAUUUGGUUGCCUUCAAGGUGGGAAAAAGAUUCAUGAUGUUGCUAUCAAAAGUUGAGAAAUUGUCAGAAGAAAUCAUGGAGAUAAUGCAAAAUUUAAGUAGUAUACAGGCUUUGGAGGGCAGUAGAGAGCUUGAAAAUCUCAUUGGAAUCUCCUGUGCAUCACAUUUCUUAAAAAGAGAAAUGCAGAAAACCAAAGAACUAAUGACAAAAGUGAAUAAACAAAAACUGUUUGAAAAGAGUACAGGACUUCCUCACAAAGGCAUUAAGAAGAAAUGCACUCACCAUGAGCACCAACUUCUGCAUCUGCCUGAUCAUAUUUAAAGGAACAGAGAAAUAUUUGUAAUUAAUCUGCCCAGUAAAUACCAGCUCGUAGCAGUUGGCAGGUGCAUGUCUAGAUAAAAUUUCUUGCAGCUAAUUUAAACUUUCUACACGCACCAGUAGAUAAUCUCAAUGUAAAUAAUACAUUUCUUCUUGGCUCUUUAAUGUAAGCCAACAUGGAGAGGAAGAUCUUGACUUAUAUUCUGUACCACAUACACUUCUGUGGACUUUUAGCAUUUGUGGGU